rnacentral:rRNA from 1 species
GAUGAACGCUAGCGGCAGGCUUAAUACAUGCAAGUCGAGGGGCAGCAGUUUUGUAGCAAUACAGAAGCUGGCGACCGGCAAGCGGGUGCGGAACACGUACGCAACCUUCCUUUAACUGGAAGAUAGCCCACCGAAAGGUGGAUUAAUACUCCAUAACAUAUUGAAGAGGAAUCUCUUUGAUAUUAAAGCUCCGGCGGUUAAAGAUGGGCGUGCGUCUGAUUAGGUAGUUGGAGGGGUAACGGCCCACCAAGCCUUCGAUCAGUAGCUGAUGUGAGAGCAUGAUCAGCCACACGGGCACUGAGACACGGGCCCGACUCCUACGGGAGGCAGCAGUAAGGAAUAUUGGUCAAUGGACGCAAGUCUGAACCAGCCAUGCCGCGUGGAGGAUGAAGGCCCUCUGGGUUGUAAACUUCUUUUCUUUGGGACGAAACCCCUGUUUCUACGGGGACUGACGGUACCAGAGGAAUAAGCACCGGCUAACUCCGUGCCAGCAGCCGCAGUAACAC